rnacentral:lncRNA from 7 species
AUAUUGCUGGCAUUCAAGAGCUGUGUCUCCACACCCUGUGCUUCCAUACUGCUGGAGCUGCAGUGGUUACACCAGAUGCCAAAGCUUUUUUCUCGAAGACAUCAAGAAAUCUGUGCUGUCAAAAGACUGGUACGUUGUCUACUUUACCAAGAGAAUGGAAAUAAAUGAUGAAUGAGAUCAGAGAUUAAUUUACCGUAAUACCAAUCCAUUAUUUGGAAAUGCAUAGACUGUUUCCACUGAUUCUGAAAGAAAUUUAAUCCCCUGCAACUAAGAAGGAAGUGGGUUUGUAAGACUAAGGAAGGACUGCAUCAUAGACCAAGAAGAGGUGUAAGAAGAUGAUGAGGAGAGCCCUGCGGAAACCAGGCAAAAAAAGAAGCCUUGAAUGCUGCCUAGAUCUCUGUUAACCUUUCGUCCUGCCAUCCACCAUCCUGCCAAUGGGCUGUAUUCCAGAGUUUGCCACUGUCCUGCUGGAUGACAUCAGCAAUAUAUUUGGUACUGCUGGUGCACUUGGCUGGAGAAGAAUUUUGGUGACAUCUCCCUCAUUUGGAAAAGCAAGCCGGAUUUCCCUUUACAAAUUAACUCUGUCUCCAGACGAACGGCUUCUGCCCAUCCUCUCUGCUCCAGGGAUGGUGCCCGUGUGCCUACAACGCUCUUUGUUUGGCUGCCACCAAAUCGAUGUGAAAGCACACAGCAGCAAGAACAUAAUCCAUGGAGGUGUUUGGAGCAGCACCAGGAGAAUGGGCUGGGGGGGUCUUGGGGGCUCAGGAGAGGUACUCAGGGUCUGCCAAUGAGCAGCAGCCUCCAGAAGUGCCACCAGGAGUUGGCGGUUUUCUUACCCCCUCAUACCACACCGAUGCUUCCACAAAUGAGCCAAACCCAGCAUAGAUGCAGAAAUGGGCCAGGCAGCUGGGAUGAGCACAACUUGUGAGUAACGCUGGGCUGGAAAAGUAAGGAAAAAAAGAAUUUUCAGCCCAGGAAUACAAGUAGGAAAAGGAAUCGGAAUCCAGAUCUCCGAGCUCAGCUGCCCUUCACUGGGGCAGGGAGAGCUGCAGGGUGCAGAGAGCAGCUCAGAAAGCCCAAGGGUUGUUGUGGCUCAGUCACACCCUCUGAGCAGCAUCUUCUUGCUAUAGCACGUGCAGCUCCUGCCAGAACGACGUCCUUGUCUUCAGCUGGAAGAUGAAACAAAAAAAGAAUUGUGUGCAAUGAGCUAUUUGUGGAGAAAUUUGUCUCAACGUUUGCAUCACUAUUGCAAGAAAAGUCAGCACCAGGACUUUCCUACCAUAGUUAAGGACAGCUCUCAGCUGUGGGGAGCUGCAGGGCAAGUGAGAUGCAAACAAGCCUUGAGAGGGGCAGACAAGAUUUACCCAGGAAGCAAUAGGAGCCCUUGAGCCCCGAUGCCAAUAAUCCUCAUCUGGAGUCAGUCCCGUUGGCUCCAGCCACUGCUGAGCUUGCUGGUGGAGAAAACCACUGCAUUGGAUCAAAUCAAUGUUAAAGGAAACUUCACAGAAGUCAAUAGCUAGUGGUCAAGAAGAGUUGCCAGACUCUUGCUUUCUCAGUAACUAAUAAAAGUGCUUUU